rnacentral:misc_RNA from 1 species
ACCCUUGUGGAGGAGGACGCCGAAGGUGGGGCUAAUGACUGGGGUGAAGUCGUAACAAGGUAGCCGUACCGGAAGGUGCGGCUGGAUCACCUCCUAACAGGGAGACAACAAAAUGUUUAAUAUUAUUAUUUUGUCACCUUAGGUCGAUCGGUAUCUCACGUUCUUAAUUUAUUAAGAAUUUCAUUUCCUAAGUUUUUCUAGGUCACACCCAUUAUUUUUCCUGGGCCAUUAGCUCAGGUGGUUAGAGCGCACCCCUGAUAAGGGUGAGGUCCCUGGUUCAAGUCCAGGAUGGCCCAUAUCUCUAUGUUGGGGGUAUAGCUCAGUUGGUAGAGCGCCUGCUUUGCAAGCAGGAUGUCAGCGGUUCGAGUCCGCUUACCUCCACUGAUUACCACCUCUUCCAUAACUGGUAGUAAAGGAAAUGUUUUGAGUCGUGAUCAAAUUCUGAAAGAAUCUAGCUUCCUAAUGAAAUCAUUAAGAUGCUGGACUCAUUGAAUUAAUUUCAUUGUUUUCAGAGAACCUUGACAACUGCAUAGAUUAUUUUUAAAGACAAUAAGCAUCUUGAAUGAUGCAGAUUUAUUAUUUGUGCGAAUGCAUUAAUAACAAUUCUAUUAAGCUGAUGCUUCAAUUUUUGAAGUUAUUGGUCAAGCUACAAAGGGCUCACGGAGGAUACCUAGGCACAC